GCUGAUGCCCAGUUGUGUCUGGUAAAUUGUUCUCUCAUUGUCUGCCUUAGUCCAAAAAAUGUUGGAACCCACUGAAAUAGAUUAAGGUUCUUAUGCCCACUACAUACUCAAUUAUAAUUCUGCUUUUGCAGCCUUGAAUAUCAUGGAAAACUGAUUGAGUUUCAUAGCCCACUUGUUAUUACUUGGUCAAAUGCUCUCCUUUACGUAAGCAAGCCAAGAGUGUCAAGAAGUAUUCUAGAG